rnacentral:sRNA from 1 species
ACGCGUUCUUCAUGUUCGCCUGUUAAGAGAUACCUACCUCGCCAUUGACCACGGAUGUACUGGCAUUGGCUGAAGGUGUUGAGGAAGGUCGGGUUCAGCCCGGCCUUUUUUCUU